GUUUGGGUAAGGCACUUCAAAACAUUACGUCUGCACGACUUGCCAGGGCGCAGUAGACAAUUUUUCUGGAGGAAAAUGCAUUGCAGGAUUUAGAAUUGGCGUUCUCACGAGUAAAAAGCUACUUUUCUUCCUGGUGAACGUAUUUUUCUUUUUUUCAAAGGUGUGUGCCUCCCACCCCGCCCCCCACCACGGCCCUCACCUGCGUGCUGCGGUGCUUCCCCUGCGAGCCGACCUGGGCUGGCAGCCCCUUCCUGCACCGUCCCCCGACCCCGCCCAUGGUCAGGAUGACGCGCUCCAAGACCUUCCAGGCCUACCUGCCCAGCUGCCACCGCACCUACAGCUGCAUCCACUGCAGAGCUCACCUGGCCAACCACGACGAGCUCAUCUCCAAGUCCUUCCAGGGUAGCCAAGGAAGAGCCUAUCUCUUCAACUCUGUGGUGAACGUGGGCUGUGGACCUGCUGAGGAGAGGGUACUGCUUACUGGCCUGCACGCUGUGGCAGACAUCUACUGUGAGAACUGCAAGACCACACUGGGGUGGAAAUACUUGAAAGCUGCCAGACUCCUGGAAGGUAGCUCUACCAAGACCAGAAGGAGUUGAGCUGCCCCACACAGCCUCUAGGAGGAUUAGACUGUUUGAACCAUAUCAACUACAGCACAGGCUCGUUCUCAUCACCAAAGAGCAUGCCUUUGAGAGCAGUCAGAAGUAUAAGGAGGGCAAGUUCAUCAUCGAACUGGCUCACAUGAUCAAGGACAACGGCUGGGA